rnacentral:rRNA from 1 species
AGUGAACGCUGGCGGUAGGCCUAACACAUGCAAGUCGAACGGCGGCACAGUAAGAGCUUGCUCUUACGGGUGGCGAGUGGCGGACGGGUGAGGAAUACAUCGGAAUCUACUUUUUCGUGGGGGAUAACGUAGGGAAACUUACGCUAAUACCGCAUACGACCUACGGGUGAAAGCAGGGGAUCUUCGGACCUUGCGCGAUUGAAUGAGCCGAUGUCGGAUUAGCUAGUUGGCGGGGUAAAGGCCCACCAAGGCGACGAUCCGUAGCUGGUCUGAGAGGAUGAUCAGCCACACUGGAACUGAGACACGGUCCAGACUCCUACGGGAGGCAGCAGUGGGGAAUAUUGGACAAUGGGCGCAAGCCUGAUCCAGCCAUACCGCGUGGGUGAAGAAGGCCUUCGGGUUGUAAAGCCCUUUUGUUGGGAAAGAAAAGCAGCAGGUUAAUACCCCGCUGUUCUGACGGUACCCAAAGAAUAAGCACCGGCUAACUUCGUGC